GGUUAAGUCCGGUAACCGAGCGCAACCCUUGCUGUUAGUUACAAGUGUCUAACGGGACUGCCGGUUUAAUACCGGAGGAAGGUGGGAUGACGUCAAGUCAGCAUGGCUCUAUGUCCAGGGCUACACACAACGCUACAAUGGCCGGUACAGUGGGUUGCCAAACCGCGAGGUGGAGCUAAUCCUCAAAGCCGGUCUCAGUUCGGAUUGUAGGCUGCAACUCGCCUGCAUGAAGUCGGAGUCGCUAGUAAUCGCGGAUCAGCAUGCCGCGGUCGAAUACGUUCCCGGGCCUU
rnacentral:rRNA from 1 species